rnacentral:rRNA from 1 species
UGCGUAGGCGGAUUUUUAAGUCAGUGGUGAAAGCCCGGAGCUCAACUCCGGAACUGCCAUUGAUACUAUUAAUCUUGAAUACAGUUGAGGUAGGCGGAAUGUGUAAUGUAGCGGUGAAAUGCUUAGAUAUUACACAGAACACCGAUUGCGAAGGCAGCUUACUAAACUGUUAUUGACGCUGAGGCACGAAAGCGUGGGGAGCGAACAGGAUUAGAUACCCUGGUAGUCC